rnacentral:rRNA from 1 species
GAUGAACGCUGGCGGCGUGCCUAACACUUGCAAGUCGAGCGAUUCUCUUCGGAGAAGAGCGGCGGACGGGUGAGUAACGCGUGGGUAACCUGCCCUGUACACACGGAUAACAUACCGAAAGGUAUGCUGAUACGAGAUAAUAUACUUUUAUCGCAUGGUAGAAGUAUCAAAGCUUUUGCGGUACAGGAUGGACCCGCGUCUGAUUAGCUAGUUGGUAAGGUAACGGCUUACCAAGGCGACGAUCAGUAGCCGACCUGAGAGGGUGAUCGGCCACAUUGGAACUGAGACACGGACCAAACUCCUACGGGAGGCAGCAGUGGGGAAUAUUGCAAAAUAGGCGAAAGCCUGAUGCAGCUACGCCGCGUGAGCGAUGAAGGCCUUCGGGUCGUAAAGCUCUGUCCUCAAGGAAGAUAAUGACGGUACUUGAGGAGGAAGCCCCGGUUAACUACGUGCCAGCCGCCGCGGUAA